GGGGAAUUAGCUCAGUUGGUAGAGCGCCUGCUUUGCAAGCAGGAUGUCAGCGGUUCAAGUCCGCUAUUCUCCA
rfam:Cyanothece sp. ATCC 51142 circular chromosome, complete sequence.